rnacentral:rRNA from 1 species
AUUGAACGCUGGCGGCAGGCCUAACACAUGCAAGUCGAGCGGAGCGCCAGACGGGUGCGUGAUGCCUAUGAAUCUGCCUGGUAGUGGGGGAUGACGUUCGCAAAUGGGCGCUAAUACUGCAUACUAUCAGAUGAACCUGGGUGGGAUUAGCUAGUUGGUGGGGUAAAGGCCUACCAAGGCGACGAUCCGUAACUGGUCUGAGAGGAUGAUCAGUCACACUGGAACUGAGACACGGUCCAGACUCCUACGGGAGGCAGCAGUGGGGAAUAUUGGACAAUGGGCGAAAGCCUGAUGCAGCCAUGCCGCGUGUGUGAAGAAGGUCUUCGGAUUGUAAAGCACUUUAAGUUGGGAGGCGUUACCAGCAGAAUAAGCACCGGCUAACUUCGUGCCAGCAGCCGCGGUAAUAC